rnacentral:tRNA from 1 species
UGUCUUGUAUUCAAUUAUGAUACUGUAUUGCAAGUACAGUGGUGCAGUUUGCCAAGGCUU